UCCAGAGGCAAGGGAGAAUGAUUUCUGACACGUCUUAUAUCACCUGUAUGAGGGACUUUAUGCAGGUCUCCUGCUGCUCCCCCCUCUUCUGUGGUUUCUACAGCACGCCAUGCCUCACAAACUGUCACUAGCUCCACCCCCCUCCCCCCAACUCGCCGCUCUGCCCGUGCACGCACCACAGCUGCCCGCAUGAGACAUCUGUAUAUCCUUGGGGGUACACCGAAGGAUGAGAAUAAUGAAAUAACAGAGAAAAACCACAACCCAGAGAGAGGAGAGCAAGAGAAAGACUUGGAAGGAAC